rnacentral:rRNA from 1 species
UACGGAGGGGGCUAGCGUUGUUCGGAAUUACUGGGCGUAAAGCGCGCGUAGGCGGACCUGCAAGUCGGGGGGUGAAAGCCCGAGGCUCAACCUCGGAACUGCCUUCGAUACUGCGGGUCUCGAGUCCGGGAGAGGUGAGUGGAAUUCCUAGUGUAGAGGUGAAAUUCGUAGAUAUUAGGAAGAACACCAGUGGCGAAGGCGGCUCACUGGCCCGGUACUGACGCUGAGGAGCGAAAGCGUGGGGAGCAAACAGG